GGGCUCAUAGCUCAGUUGGAUAGAGCAACAGCCUUCUAAGCUGUGGGUCAGGGGUUCGAAUCCCUUUGGGCUCG
rnacentral:tRNA from 3 species